rnacentral:rRNA from 1 species
UCUCCUGGAAAACGGGUGGUAAUGCCGGAUGCUCCAGUUGAUCGCAUGGUCUUCUGGGAAAGCUUUCGCGGUAUGGGAUGGGGUCGCGUCCUAUCAGCUUGACGGCGGGGUAACGGCCCACCGUGGCUUCGACGGGUAGCCGGCCUGAGAGGGCGACCGGCCACAUUGGGACUGAGAUACGGCCCAGACUCCUACGGGAGGCAGCAGUGGGGAAUAUUGCACAAUGGGCGCAAGCCUGAUGCAGCGACGCCGCGUGAGGGAUGGAGGCCUUCGGGUUGUAAACCUCUUUUAUCGGGGAGCAAGCGAGAGUGAGUUUACCCGUUGAAUAAGCACCGGCUAACUACGUGCCAGCAGCCGCGGUAAUACGUAGGGUGCAAGCGUUAUCCGGAAUUAUUGGGCGUAAAGGGCUCGUAGGCGGUUCGUCGCGUCCGGUGUGAAAGUCCAUCGCUUAACGGUGGAUCCGCGCCGGGUACGGGCGGGCUUGAGUGCGGUAGGGGAGACUGGAAUUCCCGGUGUAACGGUGGAAUGUGUAGAUAUCGGAAAGAACACCAA